CACCUGCGCAACGCAAGCGGAAGCUGUAGGACCGGAGGACAAGCCCCGGAGGACGAGCCCCGGGAGAGUGACUGGAAUGUGGCUUUUACCGGGAGAUAAGGGCGUGCUGGUCCCUCAGAGCCUAGUCUCGUCUCUGUUCGCUGAGCUGCAAGAAAGGGAAUACAAAUACGUGCUGCCGUGCGUAGACUUGCCCAGUCCCUAAUAGGUCCUGUCAGUAUCUGCCCAGGUGUAGGAGACAUCUGACCUCUGAUCCCUGGGAUAAGACGGGCAAAGAAGCCGUUCAGUACUUUGAAAUUUUGUCAUACAACAGGCAGCACGCCAGAUCAAGACCACAAGCCAUCCCAAUGAAGUCACCCUGAGGGCAGAGGAAUAUGAACAAGUGUGCUUUGGAUAUCCCUGAAGCAGACACCACAAGCUAGACAUUUUGUGAAGGUCUGUUUAUCACACUAUCAACUAAAGUACACAUUAAUUUUAAUGAAUUAUUUUAGUAUAUAUUUAUGCAGCAUUAAUGAAAAACAUUCAACUACUACAUUACAUAACCUUUCUAAUCAAUUUUUUAGUAAAUUAAUGCUGCUUGGUUUUAUCUGCAACACAAUACAGGGUAAUGUUCAGUAUUUCCAGUCACACAAACCUGUUUGAAAAUGGGAAAUGAUCCAUUAUAGUAUGAGGCAGGACUGAAAUCAGCAGUUUUCCCAUAGCAGGUACUGUCUUCUUUUAGUUCUGUGACACAGAAGAUGGCUUGAUCACAGUGAAAUCUGACUAUCCAACUUCCCAGCAAUUAAGAAAGUGUUUCUCUCUAAAGUCCAGUGAUUCUCCCUUAAUGACCCUCAAGCCUCCAGCAUGAACUGUUUGUAUCAGGUUUUUCCCUAUUUACGACACAUCACAGUCGAGUCCUGACCCCCCGACUGCUGGGUUCAUUGACUCAGCCUUUAAUUUUCAUGCUCUGACUCAAGUAGCACAAAUAAA